GACGAACGCUGGCGGCGUGCUUAACACAUGCAAGUCGAACGGAAAGGCCCUGCUUUUGUGUGGUGCUCGAGUGGCGAACGGGUGAGUAACACGUGAGUAACCUGCCCUUGACUUUGGGAUAACUUCAGGAAACUGGGGCUAAUACCGGAUAGGAGCUCCUGCUGCAUGGUGGGGUUUGGAAAGUUUCGGCGGUUGGGGAUGGACUCGCGGCUUAUCAGCUUGUUGGUGGGGUAGUGGCUUACCAAGGCUUUGACGGGUAGCCGGCCUGAGAGGGUGACCGGCCACAUUGGGACUGAGAUACGGACCAGACUCCUACGGGAGGCAGCAGUGGGGAAUAUUGCACAAUGGGCGGAAGUCUGAUGCAGCAACGCCGCGUGCGGGAUGAAGGCCUUCGGGUUGUAAACCGCUUUAGCCUGUGACGAAGCGUGAGUGACGGUAAUGGGUAAAGAAGCACCGGCUAACUACGUG
rnacentral:rRNA from 1 species